rnacentral:tRNA from 1 species
GGCCGCCUGGCGAAAUGGCAUCGCGUCUGACUACGACCCGGUGUAAUCAGGAGAUUGCAGUUUCGACCCCUGAGGUGGUCA